GAUGAACGCUAGCUACAGGCUUAACACAUGCAAGUCGAGGGGUAACAAGAGCAAAGCUUGCUUUUCUUGUUGACGACCGGCGCACGGGUGAGUAACGCGUAUCCAACCUGCCUAUAACUAGGGAAUAACCUUGCGAAAGUAAGACUAAUACCCUAUGAUUUCCUUUGAUGACAUCAGAUUAGGAAUAAAGAUUUAUCGGUUAUAGAUGGGGAUGCGUCUGAUUAGCUUGUUGGCGGGGUAACGGCCCACCAAGGCAACGAUCAGUAGGGGUUCGGAGAGGAAGGUCCCCCAAAUUGGAACUGAGACACGGUCCAAACUCCUACGGGAGGCAGCAGUGAGGAAUAUUGGUCAAUGGGCGGAAGCCUGAACCAGCCAAGUAGCGUGCAGGAUGACGGCCCUAUGGGUUGUAAACUGCUUUUAUACAGGAAUAAAGUUAGCCACGUGUGGUUAUUUGUAGGUACUGUAUGAAUAAGGACCGGCUAAUUCCGUGCCAGCAGCCGCCGUAA
rnacentral:rRNA from 1 species